rnacentral:rRNA from 1 species
GGCGGCGAGCGGCGAACGGGUGAGUAAUACAUCGGAACGUGUCCUGUAGUGGGGGAUAACCAAUCGAAAGAUUGGCUAAUACCGCAUACGAUCUACGGAUGAAAGCGGGGGACCGCAAGGCCUCGCGCUGUAGGAGCGGCCGAUGUCCGAUUAGCUUGUUGGCGGGGUAACGGCCCACCAAGGCCACGAUCGGUAGCUGGUCUGAGAGGAUGAUCAGCCACACUGGAACUGAGACACGGUCCAGACUCCUACGGGAGGCAGCAGUGGGGAAUUUUGGACAAUGGGCGCAAGCCUGAUCCAGCCAUGCCGCGUGAGUGAAGAAGGCCUUCGGGUUGUAAAGCUCUUUCGACGGGGACGAAACGGUCCGUGCCAACACCACGGACUAAUGACGGUACUCGCAGAAGAAGCACCGGCUAACUACGUGCCAGCAGCCGCGGUAAUACGUAGGGUGCAGGCGUUAAUCGGAAUUACUGGGCGUAAAGCGUGCGCAGGCGGCUCUCUAAGUCAGAUGUGAAAGCCCCGGGCUUAACCUGGGAACUGCGUUUGAAACUGGGGGGCUAGAGUGUGGAAGAGGGGGGUGGAAUUCCAGGUGUAGCAGUGAAAUGCGUAGAGAUCUGGAGGAACACCGAUGGCGAAGGCAGCCCCCUGGGCUAACACUGACGCUCAUGCACGAAAGC